UUUACAGUAAAACUGCUUUUGAAGUUUCGAUGAUGACAAUGAUUACGAUGAUGGCGCGUUGAACAUUAACGAAAGGCCUCCGACUCAGUGACACCCUCAUAAGUGCUACGGAUUUGGAGGUUGGGAGAGGUAUAUGGUUAGGAUUCGACUUUGAAGCAGGCGAUAGUCCAAGAGUCGUUGUUCAAGUGUUUUUUUUUUCUCAAAAACGCUCAAAAGAAGGAAAAGAUGUUUUUUUAGAGUAUUGUUAUAUACGCAUCCUGAAAAAUUAUUUUAUUAAUUGUAUUCCGGCCGAAAUCCAACAUAAUCGUAUUCCGGAAAUCAAGUAAAACAAGCAGGUUCUUUAUAAUUCACCACUACUAAUGAAACCCGCAAAAAUUGUAGCUCGUCAUCACGGGUUAAAAGAACAGAUUAGCCAGCCCAAAUGUAAAUUAUGUGCAAUCGAGUAAAAACGUGACAGAAGAACCUUGUUUUUAUAUUGUUUACAGUAUUAAAUCUGAUAACUUCAAUAACUCAAUUUUAAAUACCCAUGUAAGCAAAACUAAUACACUGAAGAAGAUUAAUAGUACUACAACAUACACGUCAUAAAGCUUACAACCGAUGUAUUGUCAGAAACAUACCUUCGCAUUGAAAAUCGCGUUGAUCAAUAUGGCUUAUUAUAACCGGUUUAAGCCACAUUUUUAGUUGCGUUCCAAAAAGUUGAAAACUCUAUGGAUUUCUUGUAAGGAGGGUCAUGUACUAAUUAUGUCAUACUCCAAAGAGGGGUGGUUUGUACCAGAGUCGAUAAAUGGAAAGUUGCGCAAAGAGUAAAACCAGAUUUACCUACCAAACCGUGAAAAUAUCGAUCAGACCAGCAAAACAGAUAGGGGCUAUUUUUGAAGAUUAAGAAGAACAGCCAUUCAAAGAAGUUUUUUCGCACUACUCUGAUGUGUAUAUAGACUUUAGUUUGCACAUCUAUAAAAUGCCUAGAGGUAUGCAAUGGCGCAAAAAAAUCGUGGCGGCAAAACGUCCAAAUGGACAAAAUGUCGAUUUUUUUCAUUCUUUCGGUAGAUAAUAAUUUUUUCAAGAAAAAUUCGUUUCCUUCCAUUUUUUUCCUUUCGACGUUUUGCUAGUUCUACGUAUUGCCCGUUCGACGUUUCGUCUUUUCUACGUUUUGGCAUUCGACGUUUUAUUACCAAACCAUUCUUCUGAUAUCGCAAGGUAUGACAUCGAAGGCUUCAUUUCUAGGGCUUGUAUCUGAUUGUGUGACGUUCCAAACAUUAUAUUUUGUUUUCAUGAACUGUUAUAAACCAGAUAUUGUAACAAAAUUUGUCCACCGCAAAUACCUAUGACUAGGUCCUUAAUUUUAUAGCUCAUAGAAUCAGCAUAUAACUGAAUAAAAAUCAAGCCUUGCUAGCUAAGCGUAUAGCAAAAGUUGUUUCAAAUUGAGAAUCAGGCUCAUUAUAUUAAUCAAGGUGGUAUUCGUUGUUGUCUUCCAGCAUACCCAAAAAUAAGAAAAUAUAAAAUCCAUGAUUACUUUAGGUUAAUAGAUGUGUUUGUGUCAGUGAUCACUUAAGUACCACAUUGUUAGAUGAAUCGAACUUAUCAGUGCAUCAAACAUUCAAAUAUCACAACCGCAGGAACAUGAAACUAAUUCCUCGUUUGCAGGGUAUUCAAAAUACAAUUCUUGAAAGAGUGUUUUAAGUGGCUUAUAAAAUAUACAGAUGGAAAUCAACGGAACAAUUCGUGGUAUGUGUUGUUAUUUAACUAACAUAAAUUAAAAGUUAAUUGAUAAUGAUAACUCAAACAACUAAGAUGCAAAUUGAACGAUAUCUACGUAAACACAACCUGUACAUAAAUUCUGUUUAAUUUAAAUAUACCAGAAUGGUUACCAAUCUCACUUAUCGAUUAGCUAGGGAGUAAUACAUGUUCUAUUUCUUCAAGGACAUCAAUACCGUUGUCACUAAUCAGGAGGAACUGAAUAAAAUGGUCUAAAAACUACUGCUCUGUGAUUACAAUCAUUCAAAUCGAAACAAAAGAAAUAGAUAAAAAAACGAGCACAACUAACUUGAAAUUGUUCCAACACCUCCUUUUUUGUUACACUUUUAAAAUGGUGACUAAAUCUACGACCCCUAACAGUCCCGAAUAAAUUGUGGCAUAGUAUGCAGAAUUUAGCGUAAGUUUUAUUAGUCAUUAGAAAAAAAAUUAACUGACUUUGAUAUGCUGGUCGUAUCACUUUUACAAUAACUAUACAUUAGGGUCGAAGGAUGGAAUAUUGAAUGUUCCAAGUAGAGAGACACUGAUAUGAUUCGAUGUUAAAAGCAAAAUCAAUAAAAACAUAUGAAAAAAAAUUAUUCACCGACUCAAAAUACAACUCCGAAAUACAUAAUACCAUUUGGAAAUAAAUCGCCACUUUAUGAAGGAGAUCCAUACACAGUGCUAACAAAAAAUGUGGAUUCAUGAUAGCGAACAUAUAUUUGAAGAUUGGAAUCGACUUGAAAUAUGAGCCUAAUAGGUAGUUGAGAUAUUUACAACAACAGGAUAACGAUUUACACGCGAGUAAUAUUACAAUAGAUUAAAACAAAAGCUACAAUGGUAUAUGUUCACAAGAAUCUGACUACAAAGAAAAUUAUUUAUCCUGAUACAAUAGACAACUGGAACUCAAUAGAAAAACCAUGUGAAAUGUUGAAUAAUAAGCAUCAAUAAUAAAUGGAUGGAAAUAUCAAA